UCUCCGUAGGUGAACCUGCGGAGGGAUCAUUACAGAGUUCAUGCCCUACCGGGUAGAUCUCCCACCCUAUGUUAUUAUUACUUUGUUGCUUUGGCGGGCCGUUAGGCUCCGGCCCGACUACCGGCCCCGGCUGGUAAGCGCCCGCCAGAGGACCCAAAACCCUGAAUAUUAGUGUCGUCUGAGUACUAUAUAAUAGUUAAAACUUUCAACAACGGAUCUCUUGGUCCUC
rnacentral:misc_RNA from 1 species